CCCACUGAGUUUAAUCAUAUAAUUAAGAGGAAGAAAAGAAACUUACAAGGUUUCCCCUAGUAACACCGAGCGAACCGGGAAGAGGCCAGCAUGAAAAUCGAGUGGAAGCGUCGCCUGAAUUAUAGUCUGUAUAACCAUCCUUAGCGGAAGACCGAGCCCAAGUCCCCUGGAAGGGGGCACCUGAGAGGGUUACAGCCCCGUCGGGUCGGGACCCUGCUGUACCACGAGGCGUUGUUGGCGCGUUGGGUUGUUUGGGAAUGCAACUGUAAUCGAGUGGUAAAUUCUAUCAAAAUCUAAAUAUGGGCGAGACACUGAUAGAGAACAAGUACCGCAAGGGAAAGAUGAAAAGGAAUUUUAAAAUAGAGUUAAACCGUUCUUGAAAUUGUUGGGAGGGAAGUGGAUGGAGGCCGACAAUGAGUCUCAGUCAGAUGUGAAAUGACUCAAGAUGUUCCACAACUUGAAUCGAGGUGAAAACCAGCACAUGUUGUUGCAUCGACACAAGCACAGGUGGAGUACUUCCUGUUGGUUUUCCAUUGUGGAGGUAGAGGAGUGGAGAAAUCAAGGGAUUCCACCAACACUCAUUUAAAUUUAUUUUUAAUUGCUUGCCAAUACUUCUUUUAGUUUUUUUAUAUUGAGCUCGCACAUGAGGUAGUUUAUAUCUAUGAGGAUCUAGGAUCAAUUUUUCAAACCUGAAUUUG
rnacentral:ncRNA from 1 species